GACGAACGCUGGCGGCGUGCUUAACACAUGCAAGUCGAACGAAGUGGCGAACGGGUGAGUAACGCGUAAUCAACCUGCCCUUCAGAGGGGGCCAACAGUGGGAAACGACUGCUCAUACCGCAUACUGAAGGAGGGGAUUGCGGCUGAUAAGCUAGUUGGAGGGGAAACGGCCCACCAAGGCGAUGAUCAGUAGCCGGGCUGAGAGGAUGAACGGCCAUCUUGGGAAUGAGACACGGCCCAGACUCCUACGGGAGGCAGCAGUAGGGAAUCUUCGGCAAUGGACGAAAGUCGGACCGAGCAACGCCGCGUGAGGGAAGAAGGUUUUCGGAUCGUAAAGCUCUGUUGUUAGAGAAGCGGUAUCUAACCAGAAAGCCACGGCUAACUACGUGCCAGCAGCCGCGGUAAUUC
rnacentral:rRNA from 1 species